AAUGAACGUUGGCGGCGUGGAUUAGGCAUGCAAGUCGAGGGAGAACCCGCAAGGGGGAAACCGGCGAACGGGGUAGGAAUACGUAGGUAACGUACCCUCAGGACGGGGAUAGCCACGGGAAACUGUGGGUAAUACCCGAUGAUCUGGUCUGGCUCAAGUGUCGGAUCAGCAAAGGUGAGAUUCCACCUGAGGAGCGGCUUACGCGAUAUUAGCUAGUUGGCGAGGUAACGGCUCACCAAGGCGACGAUAUCUAGGGGGUGUGAGAGCAUGGCCCCCACCACUGGGACUGAGAUACUGCCCAGACACCUACGGGUGGCUGCAGUCGAGAAUCUUCGGCAAUGGGCGAAAGCCUGACCGAGCGACGCCGCGUGCGGGAUGAAGGUCUUCGAUUGUAAACCGCUGUCGGGAGGGAUGAAGUGCACGGGGGCAAUCCCCUGUGUUUGACAGAGCUCCGGAGGAAGCACGGGCUAAGUUCGUGCCAGCAGCCGCCGUAAGAC
rnacentral:rRNA from 1 species